rnacentral:rRNA from 1 species
AGUACGAUCGCAAGAUUAAAACUCAAAGGAAUUGACGGGGCCCCGCACAAGCAGCGGAGCAUGCGGCUUAAUUCGACGCAACGCGAAGAACCUUACCAAGGCUUGACAUAUAGCGAAAAGUGGCAGAGAUGUCAUGUCCGCAAGGGCGCUAUACAGGUGGUGCAUGGUUGUCGUCAGCUCGUGUCGUGAGAUGUUGGGUUAAGUCCCGCAACGAGCGCAACCCUCGUUCUGUGUUACCAGCAUUAAGUUGGGGACUCACAGGAGACUGCCGGGGUCAACUCGGAGGAAGGUGGGGAUGACGUCAAAUCAUCAUGCCCCUUAUGUCUUGGGCUGCACGCAUGCUACAAUGGCCGGUACAAAGUGCUGCGAAAUCGUAAGAUUUAGCGAAUCACAUAAAGCCGGUCUCAGUUCGGAUUGAGGUCUGCAACUCGACCUCAUGAAGUCGGAGUUGCUAGUAAUCGUAGAUCAGCAACGCUACGGUGAAUACGUUCCCGGGGCUUGUACACACCGCCCGUCACGUCACGAAAGUCGGUAACACCCAAAGUUAGUGGCCCAACCGCAAGGGGGGAGCUACCUAAGGUGGGAUCGGUGAUUGGGACG